CUCUGGAACUCCUCUCAAGCGCUCCCUCGUCGAGCUGAUCAUGUGUUUGAUGAGGCCGCUCGCGCGAGUGUUCCCGUGGCUCUUCCGGUGGAUCUCGAGCGGGAACGUGAACGUGAUGAUACGCGAUGACGAAGAGACGCCCGUGUUUUUUGACCUGGAGACCACCGGACUGGACACGUCUGCGUGUGAUAUCGUGCAGCUGUCGGCCGUCAGCGGGGACCGGGUGUUUAACG